CUUUCUCCUUCACUGUCUGACACAUCUUCUUCGAUAUCACUGCCACCACCAUCUUUCACUUCACAAUGACUUAGCUUCACCAGGCGCCGCCUACUUGAAGGUUUCCUGACUUCCUCCCUAGAAUCACCAGUUUGAGUUGGGUGGAUCAUUGGAGCUUUUCCCAUGAAAAAGCUUCACUAGGAGCCGCCUACUAGAAGAUUUCCUGACUUCCUCCCUAGAAUCACCAGUUUGAGUUGAGUGGCCUUCGGGAUGAUCAUUGGAGCUUUUCCCAUGAAAAUGCCUAGUCUUGAGCAUGCAAAUUGGAACGUUAUCAUCAUCAGUGUCACUAUCAC
rnacentral:lncRNA from 1 species